UAUACAUCAUAAUGUUUCACAACAUAAGAUCUACUGUGAUCAAUGGGCCGUUUUGCUUCAUUCAAUGCAAGCAAAUUCGAGUUUUCCCGAGAGUCGGUUUUUAUUGGGUUAGCGAAAGAAAAAAAAAAGGGAGGUAAACGGAACGCUUCUCGUUGAGAAUAUAUAUUUCAAGAGAUGAAUUUAUAAGUAUGAAUUUAUUAGUUUGGAUGACGUAUAUAUAUGGGGAGAUUUCAGGACGGACAAAAGAUGAGUCAAAGUACACGUAACGAUUAACUUGCAACCUUUUUCUUUUUUGCAGUAUAUAUAUAUAUAUAUAUAGAUCUUUUUGCAUGUUGCCGACUUGUAGGAAUCCUAGCAAGACCCUCUUGAUCUUCUUCUUCAGGGAAAAGAGUGUGACAGUGUGAAGAGUUGGGCACCCACUUGGAGCAUGAUGUUACAUCGAUGGAGUAUUGCUUGCCCGCACUCAUUCAACUGGGGACCAUAUGGCCCAUGCCUAUCCACUUCAUGUAGUGAAGAUGAAACAACUUGGUUAUUGUUAAGGAGCAGAAAAUCGGCCCCAUUUAUCUGGUCAGGUCCAUUUCGAUCUUUUCCGUUUUGGUAAUAUCGUUUCACAUAAGAAAUCGGUGUACGGAUAUAUUAUGUGUUAUCUAACAAUAUUCUAUUGACAUCUCCGUGGGACAUUAUAUUAUCUCUAAUAAUAUAUUUGGUACAUAAAUGUCUAUGUUAUUGGUAAACAAAUAUAUUAUGUAAACUGCAAUAUCCCGAUACUGAUAUAUCGGGACUCCUAUAAAUUUCUAUUCUUUAUUGAACACUCUCUCAUUUAAGCAUCGGAUAGGGAGAUCUAGACUCCCUCUCGAUCCUCCCUUCUUGCAGGUCGAUUGUCUGUAGCUAGUGGAGGUCCAAGGUUUGUGAGAUGCAUGAGUGAGACACAUGUUCAAGGUCAGAUUUUUUUUUCUAGACCACACUAUUGGCGUCGUCUGCGGGAAACAACAUGAAAAGUCAUCCGUGUCGGUUGUUUUCCCACAAUGAGAAGAAAUAAUGGUUCUAACUAGAAAUGCGGUAAACUCUCAAGCCUCAAAUGAUAGGUUUCGGGGGCUCUAAACCCUCAUGGCGGGCUGCAACAAUCAACCUAGCGUAAUCGGCUCGUCAAGAUCCGCCACCGCCACAACACGAUGCAAAUGUGGUACGACUUAAUCAAUUGGCACCUUAUGCUCUAGCAGCGGUGGAAGCAAUCAUCGGUGGUCACAUGGCCUUUUAAGACACUUAGGCUGGCUUGAAGAACCAAGCAGCUAUUAACUGAAGGUUGAACCUGGAAGAGGAUGACGUUGUUUCCUCCAAGCAUCGACUCAAAUCCCCCGCAAAGGGGACUCUGAAAAGUUGCCUGGUGACUCGCUGAUCAAAAUUACCCUUGGAUCGGCUGCGCUCUUUCUCGAAGGAUAUCCAACAUCUAGUAGCAGAGCAAGUAGCUAAUGUGAUGCAAACUGCAGAACGGCAACAACAGGGGCUUCCCCCCAUUGAGAGGAUUCUGACUCACCCAUAUGCAAGGAGAUUCUUCGUGUUGAAGGGCCUUACAAGUUCACUCCUCCUCAAAUCACUUUGUAUGAUGGGAAGACAGAUCUAGUGAACCAUGUUCACCGCCACAUAGCUUCUCUCUUGGGAAGAGGAGUGUCAGAACAACUGCAAUAUCUCAUGUUCCCAAGAAUUCUCACUGGAACCGCGACAUAUUGGUUUCACUCUUUACCACUUGGCUCGAUAACAAGUUUCAAGCAACUAAAGAAGUUGUUCUACAAAGGUUCGCGAGAAUGUGACAGGCGAAGAGGAACAUCGUUAAGCUAUUCUCUAAGGAGCAAAGGGAGAAAGAAUCUCUUCGCGAUUGGUAUGAUCGAUUUUUCAAGGCCUUGACUAAGGUGGAAGGGUUGACAUAGAGCGAGGCAAUGGUUGCCUUCCAAAGGGCUUGAGGAAUGAGGACCUCACGAAGAGCUUGGUCACCAAGCAACUUUGCUAGCAUCUCUACUUGUGCGUGGAAGUUCAUGAUCGUCGAGAACUCCAUCUCGACAUGGAAGAAGAAGGAGCACAUGGAUAAAAAAGAAAGGAACUUCAUGAAGGCGAGUCUAGUAAAAAGGAUCACUCUUCCAAUUUGAGAUGCUAACACCCCUCAAUGCACUAAAGGCGACUAUCCUCGAAGAGAUGGAGCGACUUGGUCUAGCGAAGCCCCCAUCGUUGAAAAAAGAUUAGUCUUUAGGUAAGAAUUCAGAUCAAUAUUGCAAAUUUCAUAAGGCAUGUGAUCAUGACACUGAGCAUUGUCACGUGCUCCAGUUUGAAAUCGAGAAGCUAAUUCGACAAGGACACCUCAAGUCCUUUGUCCAAAGUGAAGGACCCCUUCACGGGCAGAGGGUCGUAGGCGAGGACACUCUACGAGGGUUAACUAAUUAAGAUACUAAGCUAUCAUUGCAGUUCAUAGUCUUUCCUUUUUGCUUGUAAGGAUAUGUUGGAAUGAAUGCUUUAUGGUGAUUGUGAUUGAUGAACACUUAUUUGAAUUACGAGCAU